ACAUGCCUACAUCAUAUCAUUAAUGCACUGGAUCCCAUUAGAACUCCAUAGUUAAGUGCGCUCAGGAUAAAGUAGUACUGGGAUGGGUGACCUCUCGAGAAGUCCUAGUGUUUUACAUGCC
rnacentral:rRNA from 1 species